UACAAUGUCUUUUUAGACACCCAGAGUCACGGUACGUUCUUUCUCUUCCAUGAAUGUUACGCAUGCAGGAUGCUCCAAGGCCUGUAUCUUCGUGCUCGCGGUAGUCUUAAAUUAAUAAAAUUGAUGGGUUUUAUGGGACCAUCGCGUUUUGACCAACCUUUAAAUGACGUGCCUUUCCCGGAAACUU
rnacentral:snoRNA from 1 species